UACAGAGGGUGCGAGCGUUAAUCGGAAUUACUGGGCGUAAAGCGUGCGUAGACGGCUAUCUAAGUCGGGUGUGAAAGCCCCGGGCUCAACCUGGGAAUUGCAUUCGAGACUGAAUAGCUAGGGUACGGUAGAGGGAAGUGGAAUUUCCGGUGUAGCGGUGAAAUGCGUAGAUAUCGGAAGGAACAUCAGUGGCGAAAGUGACUUCCUGGACCAGUACCGACGUUCAGGCACGAAAGCGUGGGGAGCAAACAGG
rnacentral:rRNA from 1 species